UUUCCUCCUUUAAGUGCCUUUAUAUCUUCAAUAGAUGCUUGAGAGAAAUUUAGAUAGGUUUAAAACCAUUGGAGAGCUUUAAAUGAGUAUUAAAUACAAUCAAAAUGGGUUGAACAUUAGCCGUUAUGGAGAUUUUUCGUCACAAGGGUCGACCCUAGGAUCGUCCUCUGCACAAGGGUCGACCCUUAGGGUCGAUCUCUAUGGCACAAAAUAGAAAGUGAC
rnacentral:lncRNA from 1 species